GGAAGGAGGGUCUUAUUUGGUCUGUACUUUGGGGCUCGAAAGAGCGUUUAUCUUGUUGUGCUUUGCAGGGAGAGGAUGGUACGUGGAUCUGCUCCGUGUUGACGGUUGGUCCAUUCACCACGGUCUAGACCUCUACUUAAGAGGUUGUUAUAAUCUAUUUGUGUUGCUUUUAAUUUUCAUAUUACCUAUUAAGGUAGACCUCCAUUUUAUGGAUAAACUAGUUAGGUUUAUGUCCUCCAAUUUUUUUUUUAUGUAUUUUUCCCCCC
rnacentral:lncRNA from 1 species